rnacentral:lncRNA from 1 species
ACAAAAUGGAGAACUUGACUACUUCUCUUAAAAAUAAUAAGAAUCAUGUUAAUCAGAAUGGAAGGAUGUAUGUUAAGCCAAUUAUAAAGAAGGAGUCCAAGUGAUAGCAACAUCCUUGACUAGGUUGGGCCAAAGCUAGAAGGAUGCGAUGGAGAUGGUACCUAGGAAUGUAAUGGUGCAAAAAAUAAAAUGAUGGUAGACGAGAAGGAAGGCUCACAG